CUUUCGGUGUUUUGCUAUCAAAGUUCCAUCGGGACCCCAAAUAGUACAGGUAUUGUACAAUUUAUCGCCCUCUAUUUCAGGCAUCGUACCACCAACUACAUAGAUGUUGUUUUCUUUAGCUGCAUUCGAUAAAGCAACGCUCGUUUCACCAUCAGGAAUACUCUCGGCGUAUUUUCGAAAGUACUCUGCAUUGCAAUAUUUCAAUUAAUGAAAAAUAACUGUCUUUUGUUCCAACCAUAAAUUAAAUUGAAAUUUUUGUCAGUUUUUUAUUUUUUAAAUUAUUAAAAUAACUAAGUUUUAUAUCUCGACUUAAUUAAAUAUGCAAUUACUUAGCUAACAGUAUAUAUAAUAAAUUGUUUCUACAGGUUCAAAAUGAAAAAUGAAUAUUUAGAAAUAUUUAAUUACGACAAUGCUAUUUGUGUUAGCAUCAGUGGCUUGUUACUCUACGACUUUGCUAGUACUUUUUGAAACAUAAAGUUAGUUUUCAAUUAACACUUAUACUAGAGGCGGAAUUAUAAAUGCAAAAUAAUUGAUAAUACCAAUUUAUAAGUACCUAAUUAUUAGUAUCUUAAAAAAUAUAUUUAUACAAAAAUCACGAUAAUCAUGAAAAUGGGGAAAUCCUAUAUUCUCGACUCAAUUCACAAUCUUUAUGGAAGUAUAAACGCAUUCAGGAAGAGCUAUAAUAUCAGCAUUGCGCUCUUUUGCGCUAGAAAUGUAGGAAACUGCCCGCUCUACAUUUUUGCGUUUUACUUCAUUUACUUCAAGUUGUACCAACGCCAAGCGAAAUGCUAAAAUGUUGGAAAAGUUAAAUACAUUCGGUUAUAUAUUUCCCAUACUUUUUAUCUAUAAAUACUUUUUACAUAGUGAAUACUUACUCGACAUCGUUCGCACUACUUGUUUAGCGAUGUUUGUAAGUAUCAUAAUGUUGAGGUUAUGUAUGGUACUACUCAAUAUCAACAUUACGUAAGCAAUACGCAGGGAUUUUUAAUAAUUCUUGGUAAAGUUUAGGACAUUAAUUUUGAUGUAAUUGUAAACAUUAUUUGUUCACAAUUUGUCCAUUUACUUUGCAACAAAAAGAACGCAUCUGCAAGCGUGUUAAUCGGAUAACGACGAACUUCAUUUCGCAAACACCGACACGUGAAACAUUUUGAAGUUACGUCGACGCGAGAGUAAUUGGUUCCCUUAAAUUCCUCAAUUUCCAUUUCUUUCGCCAUGUAUAUUCGAGUAUUGCAUUUGAAUUGCAGAGCAGUCGAAAGUAGAGGAGCACCUCGCCGAUAUAUCGACAGGAACAUGAAUUUUUUUUCAUAGGGCGAAUAUUUUUUCCAUUGAAUUAUUAAACCGAGUCAAAUUUUCAAACUCAACCACUUAAUUUAAUCGUUUUACAUAAAACAUUUCAAUCUUUUUUCUUCUAAAUACUUUACCUAUAUUUCAUCUGGCUGAAUAUUCCAUAUUUUUAAAGCUUGUUGAUAAUUACAAAUACGUAAUUAUCAUUCUGAAGCUAGAAAUUUGAAGUAAAAUUGCUCUGCGCGAAAGGAAAUAAUUCAACGUUUUAUAUAUAGCUGUUAAAAUGAUAUAAGUUUCAGUAAAAUAGCUUCACUAAAAUUUGUGGUUUUUUUCCUUUUCUAUUUUUUUUUUUUUUUUUUUUUUUUUGUUUUAUGUGUUCAAGGGCGAACGUUCCC